rnacentral:rRNA from 1 species
GACGUAGGAUGCAAGCGUUGUUCGGAUUUAUUGGGCGUAAAGCGAGCGUAGGUGGCUAGAUAAGUCUGGUGUUAAAGCUAGGGGCUCAACCCCUGUGUUGCACUGGAAACUGGCGAGCUUGAGUGCGGCAGAGGGGGGUGGAAUUCCGCGUGUAGCAGUGAAAUGCGUAGAGAUGCGGAGGAACACCGAUGGCGAAGGCAGCCCCCUGGGUCGACACUGACGCUCAGGCACGAAAGCGUGGGGAGCAAACAGG